rnacentral:rRNA from 1 species
UACAGAGGUCUCAAGCGUUGUUCGGAUUCAUUGGGCGUAAAGGGUGCGUAGGUGGCGGGGUAAGUCGGAUGUGAAAUCCCGGGGCUCAACCCCGGAACUGCAUUCGAUACUGCCUUGCUCGAGUACUGGAGAGGAGAUUGGAAUUUACGGUGUAGCAGUGAAAUGCGUAGAUAUCGUAAGGAAGACCAGUGGCGAGGCGAAUCUCUGGACAGUUACUGACACUGAGGCACGAAGGCCAGGGGAGCAAACGGG